UGGCUCUAUUCACAGCUGAACUCAACCU
rnacentral:piRNA from 1 species